CACUCCUACGGGAGGCAGCAGUGGGGAAUUUUGGACAAUGGGCGAAAGCCUGAUCCAGCCAUGCCGCGUGCAGGAUGAAGGCCUUCGGGUUGUAAACUGCUUUUGUACGGAACGAAACGGCCUUUUCUAAUAAAGAGGGCUAAUGACGGUACCGUAAGAAUAAGCACCGGCUAACUACGUGCCAGCAGCCGCGGUAAUACGUAGGGUGCAAGCGUUAAUCGGAAUUACUGGGCGUAAAGCGUGCGCAGGCGGUUAUGUAAGACAGUUGUGAAAUCCCCGGGCUCAACCUGGGAACUGCAUCUGUGACUGCAUAGCUAGAGUACGGUAGAGGGGGAUGGAAUUCCGCGUGUAGCAGUGAAAUGCGUAGAUAUGCGGAGGAACACCGAUGGCGAAGGCAAUCCCCUGGACCUGUACUGACGCUCAUGCACGAAAGCGUGGGGAGCAAACAGGAUUAGAAACCCUUGUAGUCCCAUG
rnacentral:rRNA from 1 species